CCUCGCGCAAGUGUGGAAGUGCUCAAGCCGCCUCGACCGAGUUCGGAGCGCGGUCAGUUUCCGUUAAAUUAGUGAAGUUCCCUCAAAGACGUCUCACUAUGCGCGCCGCACUGGUCACAGUGAUGAUCCUGUUCAUGAACUGUUAUCAACUUCGCAUCUCGGCGGCUGGAAAUAGCAACGAAACGCUCUACAAGGAAAACUUGAAGAGGUGCCAGGCGUUCAGAUGUGGUACUCCGCAACCGCACGUCCUCCGGUAUCAAGACCUCUUUCAUUCGAAUGAAGUCAACCCAUGUGAGGAUGUGCACCCACACGUGGCAGUUCUCCACCGAUGCGAUUCUACAACUGGAUAUUGUUCAUCAUCGGUAAAAAGUUCCUGUGGACCAAUACAUCUCGAAGAAGUUUCUAUUGGAUUCAUGAUCACGUUGAAGCAUUCCUCGGGAGGCUGUAUUACAAUGCCGAAACAAAUUCGCUAUGUGCAAGUGACGGCAAUAAAUCAUACGCAAUGCGCAUGCACUAAAAAAGACGAUAUUAAAUAAUCAAAAAGUUUCAAGUGCGAUGGGACGAACCGGAAGGACAGGUUCCGCUUAACAAAUUGUAAUACGGUGGGAUUUUCGUCUGUGAUAAAUGGUGCAACAGUAUUCUACAAGCAGCUUAUUGUGAUUUAUUUGACAAAUGUGUGUGAGUUUGGACCUUGGAAAAAAUAUUUAGAAUUAUGUGGCUUUUAUCAAUUCUGUCGCGUGUUGGUGAAACGUGACUGCUUAUUUAUUCAUUAGAAUACUUAUAUUAUAUUCAUUGAUAAUUAGCAAACACGAGUAAAUUAGUUUUCUACUUUUUUUGGAAAGACUAAGAGUGAUACGUUGCGAAUUUGCAAAAGCUGCAGGUGUUGUUCAGUGCUUAUUUUAAGUAAUACAAUUUUGCAACUUAAGUUUCCGAAACGUAAACAAAUCAGAACCGUAAUGUUCACUUUCAUAGUCAUAAACAUGAUAAAGUAAAUGUUUAUAUACACAUUUUUCAAAAACCUAUUUAGACUGGUUAAAAUUCUAAAAAUAAAAAUUACAAUUUAUACGAAA